UCCGUAGGCGGAUUGAUAAGUCAGAGGUGAAAUCCCACAGCUUAACUGUGGAACUGCCUUUGAAACUGUUAGUCUUGAGUUAUAUGGAAGUAGAUAGAAUGUGUAGUGUAGCGGUGAAAUGCAUAGAGAUUACACAGAAUACCGAUUGAGAAGGCAGUCUACUACGUAUAUACUGACGCUAAUAGACGAAAGCGUGGGGAGCGAACAGGAUUAGAUACCCUGGUAGUCC
rnacentral:rRNA from 1 species